GUUUGCUUUUGAAGGACAUAUACUAAAAUUAGAAUGUUACAGUGAAGAUUGGCAUGGCUGUAGCGCAAGAAUGACAUAUAAAUUCAUGAAACAAAAGUAAUGGCU